rnacentral:rRNA from 1 species
UGCAAACUGCGAAUACCGGAGAAUGUUAUCACGGGAGACACACGGCGGGUGCUAACGUCCGUCGUGAAGAGGGAAACAACCCAGACCGCCAGCUAAGGUCCCAAAGUCAUGGUUAAGUGGGAAACGAUGUGGGAAGGCCCAGACAGCCAGGAUGUUGGCUUAGAAGCAGCCAUCAUUUAAAGAAAGCGUAAUAGCUCACUGGUCGAGUCGGCCUGCGCGGAAGAUGUAACGGGGCUAAACCAUGCACCGAAGCUGCGGCAGCGACGCUGAUGCGUUGUUGGGUAGGGGAGCGUUCUGUAAGCCUGUGAAGGUGUGCUGUGAGGCAUGCUGGAGGUAUCAGAAGUGCGAAUGCUGACAUAAGUAACGAUAAAGCGGGUGAAAAGCCCGCUCGCCGGAAGACCAAGGGUUCCUGUCCAACGUUAAUCGGGGCAGGGUGAGUCGACCCCUAAGGCGAGGCCGAAAGGCGUAGUCGAUGGGAAACAGGUUAAUAUUCCUGUACUUGGUGUUACUGCGAAGGGGGGACGGAGAAGGCUAUGUUGGCCGGGCGACGGUUGUCCCGGUUUAAGCGUGUAGGCUGGUUUUCCAGGCAAAUCCGGAAAAUCAAGGCUGAGGCGUGAUGACGAGGCACUACGGUGCUGAAGCAACAAAUGCCCUGCUUCCAGGAAAAGCCUCUAAGCAUCAGGUAACAUCAAAUCGUACCCCAAACCGACACAGGUGGUCAGGUAGAGAAUACCAAGGCGCUUGAGAGAACUCGGGUGAAGGAACUAGGCAAAAUGGUGCCGUAACUUCGGGAGAAGGCACGCUGAUAUGUAGGUGAAGUCCCUCGCGGAUGGAGCUGAAAUCAGUCGAAGAUACCAGCUGGCUGCAACUGUUUAUUAAAAACACAGCACUGUGCAAACACGAAAGUGGACGUAUACGGUGUGACGCCUGCCCGGUGCCGGAAGGUUAAUUGAUGGGGUCAGCGCAAGCGAAGCUCUUGAUCGAAGCCCCGGUAAACGGCGGCCGUAACUAUAACGGUCCUAAGGUAGCGAAAUUCCUUGUCGGGUAAGUUCCGACCUGCACGAAUGGCGUAAUGAUGGCCAGGCUGUCUCCACCCGAGACUCAGUGAAAUUGAACUCGCUGUGAAGAUGCAGUGUACCCGCGGCAAGACGGAAAGACCCCGUGAACCUUUACUAUAGCUUGACACUGAACAUUGAGCCUUGAUGUGUAGGAUAGGUGGGAGGCUUUGAAGUGUGGACGCCAGUCUGCAUGGAGCCGGCCUUGAAAUACCACCCUUUAAUGUUUGAUGUUCUAACGUUGACCCGUGAUCCGGGUUGCGGACAGUGUCUGGUGGGUAGUUUGACUGGGGCGGUCUCCUCCUAAAGAGUAACGGAGGAGCACGAAGGUUGGCUAAUCCUGGUCGGACAUCAGGAGGUUAGUGCAAUGGCAUAAGCCAGCUUGACUGCGAGCGUGACGGCGCGAGCAGGUGCGAAAGCAGGUCAUAGUGAUCCGGUGGUUCUGAAUGGAAGGGCCAUCGCUCAACGGAUAAAAGGUACUCCGGGGAUAACAGGCUGAUACCGC